UACAGAGGGUGCAAGCGUUAAUCGGAUUUACUGGGCGCAAAGCGCGCGUAGGUGGCCAAUUAAGUCAAAUGUGAAAUCCCCGAGCUUAACUUGGGAAUUGCAUUCGAUACUGGUUGGCUAGAGUAUGGGAGAGGAUGGUAGAAUUCCAGGUGUAGCGGUGAAAUGCGUAGAGAUCUGGAGGAAUACCGAUGGCGAAGGCAGCCAUCUGGCCUAAUACUGACACUGAGGUGCGAAAGCAUGGGGAGCAAACAGG
rnacentral:rRNA from 1 species